rnacentral:rRNA from 1 species
AUGAAGGAUUUGACAACCAAGCGGGUCCUUCUUCGAGGCAGAUGUGAAAAUGGGCUCUAUCCCAUUCGGCCCUCACAUUCUCAUGUCCUGUUCUCAGUUAGGCUCUUUGCUGAAGAUUGGCAUGCUAGGUUCGGCCAUCCAUCCACACAAGUUGUUCAACAUGUUUUGGCGUCCAAUAAAUUAGCAUCGUCGAGUCGGGCUUUGACCCAUGUGUGUAAUGCUUGUCAACAAGGCAAAGCACAUCAGCUACCUUUUCCUAGAUCCUCGAGUGUGUCUUCGUUUCCUUUGGAACUUAUUUUUUCAGAUGUGUGGGGACCUGCCAAAACCUCUUCUGGUGGGUUCCAAUACUAUGUUUCAUUCAUUCAUGAUUAUAGUAAAUUUGUGUGGAUUUACCUUCUUAAACGAAAGUGUGAUGUGUUUGAUGUCUUUUGUGAUUUUAUCACCCAUGUUGAACGCCUUCUUUCUCAUAAAAUCUUGUGUGUUCAAUCCGACUGGGUGGGGAAUACGAAAAACUUAGCGACACAUUUUUUGUCAACUUGGCAUUGCUCAUCACGUUUCUUGUCCACACACACAUCAACAGAAUGGCUCGGCCGAAAGGAAGCACCGUCACAUUGUUGA